CGUGGAGCGCAAGCGGACCGUGCCGAAUGGCGGGCAGCGGAGGCCCCGGGCGGCCGAGCCCGGCGUGGCCUUGGGCUCUUCCAGGUGUAACAAAACCUGUCUCAUUUGAAGGUGCUUGAACAAAUACUUUCCAAAAACUUGUCAUGGAGAGUGAGUGAAACAAGCUACCAGGACUACAUUUGCAAAGAACAAGCAUGUAGGUGGCUGUAGUGGAUGUCCAACAUUGGGAGCUGUGAUUUCUAAAAACCCUUCAUUGUUUUGUGUAAGUUUGCUUGAUCAGUCAUGUCUCUGGAUUUGAAUAAUGUUUGAUAACACUGAGGGACUGGAGCCACUUUGUUUUGAAGAUCAUUAGGGUCACCUGGGCCUAGUUUGAGAUGGAAAAAAAAUGAUUUUGGGCUUCUGACUGUCUUUUUCUUUUGGGAAGGUGCAGCUCACAUUUUGGAAGGUAAAAUGAAGACCAUGAACAAAGUCAAGAAACCACGAACAGAAGCAAAUGAUGAAAAUUAGUAUUUAAUUUGAUAUUAAUAAAAUAAGUUAUGUAGAAAUAGUUAAUCUU
rnacentral:lncRNA from 1 species